CUCCUGGAUCUGUAGUUUAUACAGUAGUUCUUCUAGAAUCCUGCAGUGGAGACUGCCUAACACCUCCCAUGUAGAAGCUAGACCUGAAAUCUUUAAGCUUUUAUCUGCUCUUCUGGAAACUGCUUUUCGUCACUUAUUUGGAGUAUGUAGCUGUGCUGUAAAACAAGAUGAUGCAACUGUGAAACCCUCACCAAUGUAGAGUGGAGCUCGUCGGGCAUAAUGUAGAUAUUUCUCCUGUUCCAGACAAUGUUUUGCACCAUGUAGGGGAACACUCUGCAUAUCUUGUAUGCAUAGGUGAUUUUUCUGGACAAACGGUGCACUUUCUGCUCAGAAGAAUCCCAGGAAAAAAAAAG